rnacentral:rRNA from 1 species
GAUGAACGCUAGCGGCAGGCCUAACACAUGCAAGUCGAGGGGCAGCAUAAAAUAAACUUGUGUAUUUGGUGGCGACCGGCGCACGGGUGCGUAACGCGUAUGCAACCUACCUUAUACAAAGGGAUAGCCCGGAGAAAUUCGGAUUAAUACCUUAUAGUAUCUAAUUAUAGCAUUAUAAUAAGAUUAAAGCUUUGGCGGUAUAAGAUGGGCAUGCGUCCAAUCAGCUAGAUGGUGAGGUAACGGCUCACCAUGGCGACGAUUGGAAGGGGGCCUGAGAGGGUGGUCCCCAACACUGGGACUGAGACACGGACCAGACUCCUACGGGAGGCAGCAGUGAGGAAUAUUGGUCAAUGGGCGCAAGCCUGAACCAGCCAUGCCGCGUGAAGGAUGAAGGUUCUAUGGAUUGUAAACUUCUUUUAUUUGGGAAUAAACCUCUUUACGUGUAGAGAGCUGAAGGUACCAAAUGAAUAAGCACCGGCUAACUCCGUGCCAGCCGCCGCCGUAACAC